rnacentral:rRNA from 1 species
UACAGAGGGUGCGAGCGUUAAUCGGAAUUACUGGGCGUAAAGCGCACGUAGGCGGACUGUUAAGUCGGGGGUGAAAUCCUGGGGCUCAACCUCAGAAUUGCCUCCGAUACUGGCAGUCUCGAGUGCGGGAGAGGUGAGUGGAAUUCCCAGUGUAGAGGUGAAAUUCGUAGAUAUUGGGAAGAACACCAGUGGCGAAGGCGGCUCACUGGCCCGUAACUGACGCUGAGGUGCGAAAGCGUGGGGAGCAAACAGG